GACGAACGCUGGCGGCGUGCUUAACACAUGCAAGUCGAACGGAAAGGCCCUGCUUUUGUGGGGUGCUCGAGUGGCGAACGGGUGAGUAACACGUGAGUAACCUGCCCUUGACUUUGGGAUAACUUCAGGAAACUGGGGCUAAUACCGGAUAGGAGCUCCUGCUGCAUGGUGGGGGUUGGAAAGUUUCGGCGGUGUGGGAUGGACUCGCGGCUUAUCAGCUUGAUGGUGGGGUAGUGGCUUACCAAGGCUUUGACGGGUAGCCGGCCUGGGAGGGUGACCGGCCACCUUGGGACUGAGAUACGGCCCAGACUCCUACGGGAGGCAGCAGUGGAGAAUAUUGCACAAUGGGCGGACGCCUGAUGCAGCAACGCCGCGUGCGGGAUGACGGCCUUCGGGUUGUAAACCGCUUUCGCCUGUGACGAAGCGUGAGUGACGGUAAUGGGUAAAGAAGCACCGGCUAACUACGUG
rnacentral:rRNA from 1 species